rnacentral:rRNA from 1 species
UACGAAGGGAGCUAGCGUUACUCGGAAUCAUUGGGCGUAAAGCGUGCGUAGGCGGUCUUGUAAGUUAGAAGUGAAAUCCUAGGGCUUAACCCUAGAACUGCUUUUAAUACUGCUCGACUAGAAUACUUGAGGGGACAGUAGAAUUCCUAGUGUAGGGGCGAAAUCCGUAGAUAUUAGGAGGAAUACCAGUGGCGAAAGCGACUGUCUGGCAAGUUAUUGACGCUGUUGCACGAAAGCGUGGGGAGCAAACAGG